AGAGGAGCGGUACCGGCAUAAGCGAGAAAUGGAAAAGAUAUAAAAGAGGAAUACAGUGUUGGAGAACGCGUUUGAACAAAGAGCUUUCAUCAGUGAGCUUUGGCGCAUUGUGUGGGAUUUUAUGCAUAGCAUCUGCGAAGUUAUUGUGGCGGAAGGGUUUACUGGAGAUUCAUGAUAUUAUGGAGAUUAAUUCACCGGCAGUGGUGGAUGGAAACUCAAGUUGUGAGGGGAAAAAAUACUUUAUGAUUCAAGUUGGAGAUUCGAGUGGACAUGUGUCCAAUGUUGAAAGAGGAUUGACGUUUCGUAGACAGUUUAGUGGAAAUUUUUGGGGGAAUAAUAUUGAAUAA